rnacentral:rRNA from 1 species
AACGCGUGGGUAACCUGCCCUAUACACAUGGAUAACAUACUGAAAAGUUUUACUAAUACAUGAUAAUAUAUAUUUACGGCAUCGUAGAUAUAUCAAAGUGUUAGCGGUAUAGGAUGGACCCGCGUCUGAUUAGCUAGUUGGUGAGAUAACUGCCCACCAAGGCGACGAUCAGUAGCCGACCUGAGAGGGUGAUCGGCCACAUUGGAACUGAGACACGGUCCAAACUCCUACGGGAGGCAGCAGCC